rnacentral:rRNA from 1 species
AUUGAACGCUGGCGGCAUGCCUUACACAUGCAAGUCGAACGGCAGCAUGAUCUAGCUUGCUAGAUUGAUGGCGAGUGGCGAACGGGUGAGUAAUACAUCGGAACGUGCCCUGUAGUGGGGGAUAACUAGUCGAAAGAUUAGCUAAUACCGCAUACGACCUGAGGGUGAAAGUGGGGGACCGCAAGGCCUCAUGCUAUAGGAGCGGCCGAUGUCUGAUUAGCUAGUUGGUGAGGUAAAGGCUCACCAAGGCGACGAUCAGUAGCUGGUCUGAGAGGACGAUCAGCCACACUGGGACUGAGACACGGCCCAGACUCCUACGGGAGGCAGCAGUGGGGAAUUUUGGACAAUGGGCGAAAGCCUGAUCCAGCAAUGCCGCGUGUGUGAAGAAGGCCUUCGGGUUGUAAAGCACUUUUGUCCGGAAAGAAAUGGCUCUGGUUAAUACCUGGGGUCGAUGACGGUACCGGAAGAAUAAGGACCGGCUAACUACGUGCCAGCAGCCGCGGUAAUACGUAGGGUCCAAGCGUUAAUCGGAAUUACUGGGCGUAAAGCGUGCGCAGGCGGUUGUGCAAGACCGAUGUGAAAUCCCCGAGCUUAACUUGGGAAUUGCAUUGGUGACUGCACGGCUAGAGUGUGUCAGAGGGGGGUAGAAUUCCACGUGUAGCAGUGAAAUGCGUAGAGAUGUGGAGGAAUACCGAUGGCGAANGCAGCCCCCUGGGAUAACACUGACGCUCAUGCACGAAAGCGUGGGGAGCAAACAGGAUUAGAUACCCUGGUAGUCCACGCCCUAAACGAUGUCAACUAGUUGUUGGGGAUUCAUUUCCUUAGUAACGUAGCUAACGCGUGAAGUUGACCGCCUGGGGAGUACGGUCGCAAGAUUA